rnacentral:rRNA from 1 species
UACGGGGGGGGGUAAGCGUUGUUCGGAAUUACUGGGCGUAAAGGGCUCGUAGGCGGCCAACUAAGUCAUACGUGAAAUCCCUCGGCUUAACCGGGGAACUGCGUCUGAUACUGGAUGGCUUGAGUUUGGGAGAGGGACGCGGAAUUCCAGGUGUAGCGGUGAAAUGCGUAGAUAUCUGGAGGAACACCGGUGGCGAAGGCGGCGAUCUGGGUAGAUACUGACGCUGAGGUGCGAAAGCGUGGGGAGCAAACAGG